UACGUAGGGGGCAAGCGUUGUCCGGAAUCAUUGGGCGUAAAGCGCGCGUAGGUGGCCUCAUAAGUCCGCUGUGAAAGUCAAAGGCUCAACCUUUGAAAGCCGGUGGAUACUGUGAGGCUAGAGUACGGAAGAGGCGAGUGGAAUUCCUGGUGUAGCGGUGAAAUGCGUAGAGAUAUGGAGGAACACCAGUGGCGAAGGCGGCUUCCUGGUCUGUAACUGACACUGAGGCGCGAAAGCGUGGGGAGCAAACAGG
rnacentral:rRNA from 1 species